GGAGUCUCACUCUGUCGCCAGGCUGGAGUGCAGUGGCGCAAUCUCGGCUCAUGGCAACCUCCACCUCCCAGGUUCAAGUGAUUCUCCUGCCUCAGCCUCCCGAGUAGCUGGAACUACUCAGGCACCCGCCACCAUGCCCGGCUAAUUGUUUGUAUUUUUAGUAGAGACAGGGUUUCACUGUGUUAUCCAGGAUGGUCUUGAUCUCUUGACCUCAUGAUCCACCCGCCUCGGCCUCCCAAAGUGCUGGGAUUACAGGCGUGAGCCACCGCACCCAGCCGGAAACUGAAUAGGUAUUACAAGGAAGGAACAGUCUCUGUUUUCCUGAACUUCCUCCCGUUCAAGUUAAACUGGAGAAGAUCAUGCCAGGAGAAAAAUAAGAAAAACAUGCUCUCUCUUCUCUAAUGAUUGGACAGACUCCUACUCCAAAACAGAAGAUCUCAACUCUGGAAGAGAACAGAUGCCUUCCACUGUGUGAGCGUAAAUUCAGAGCCUUCCAACUUGACAUUCUCAUCGACAAAUUAUUUAAACAUGACGGCUCUUUUAUAAAGAGUGUUAUCUUAAAAGGAAAGGAAUCAAAGGGCUGAACAUGUUGAAGGGAGGAGAAACAAGACCCCCAGGACUUGUCAAUGGCACACAUGAAAGACAGAAAACACCAGAAGCCAGUCUUCAGCCUGCUGGCCCAGCCAUGGCCACUGUAACGUACGGCUAAACCCCUGCCCCGAUCAGCUCUCAAGGCUCUGAGCCAACUGCCUAGACCGUCUAUUUGAGAUCCCUGAGAGUUUCAACACAGGGCAUGGCUGACCUCUCCACCGUGUCAUUUCCAGUAAUGCGGCCUCACUGAUAGCAGAAGUUCGGAGAGCUCUUGUCAGAGAGGCCAGCUGGCACCAUGUGAGUCUUACCCAGAGGGAAACCUGACAAUCUUCCAGCAUGCUCACCAGACUGGGGCACUGACUUUUGUCACUUGAUUCUCAACUCACAGUCUCAAGAUGCUGGUGCUAAUGUACAUUGCAGCUGACACUGGAGUUUAUUUUUAUAACUGCUCUUGCCUCAGAAAAAGCUCCAUCCCAGUACGACUUCCAGGACAGGGAUGGUCUGGAUGCUGCAGUUAGGACAAUGAUCAUCUCGUUCUCUUAGUGGUUAGGAAUCCUGUGGGCUUAUGGAAUAAGCUCGCUGAAACAGACAGUGACAUCCACGGUGACACUGACCGAAUUGUGCUCCAGUGGCCUAGAGAGUGCCUAUUAUUUAUCUCAUUUCUGUUCUGCAUAAUAACACCAACCAAACCGCUAAUGAAUGAAUAUUAUUACAUGCUUUGGUAGGAACGCAAAGGCAAAUUGGGCUCACUGUAGAGAAUAUCUUGCUCCUCAUUUUGUAUUAAAAUGCCUAGACGCCCCUCAAGAGACCAUGUCAAGGAUGAAAUUUAUCCACUGCCUGCAUUUGCUAAUUUGAAAGAGUUCUGAUUUCAUCUGCCGGGCUUAAUAUAGAAAUUCUUUUAACCUGAACAGAUACACAGAAAUGUGGAAUUUAUUCAAUGCCAUUUUCUUGAUUUAUGUCAGGAAAUAUAUAUGGCUAUGCUGUCAUCUUUUUAUAUAUAGACAUCAAUAUAUAUAAAUAUAUAGAGUCAAGUCAGAAAUUCUGAAACCACAUUGCACUUAGCCCUUACAGCAUAAUGCUUUCCAUAUUCUUCACAGUUUGUUUCCCUGAUCCUUUAGAGAGAGCUACUGUGUUUAAAGUGUAAACCAUUUUUACAGAAAAAAUGUAUUACAAUUCUAUAUGAUAAUUCUCAAAGUUCAGGAAAAUAAUCUGAAAUAAACAUUCUAAAUUGAGGAAUGAAUAAUAAAGACUCAUCAAUUGGGCUGGGAGCAGUGGCUCACGCCUGUAAUCUCAGUACUUUGGGAGACCGAGGCAGGCGGAUCACCUGAGGUCAGCCUGGC
rnacentral:lncRNA from 1 species